rnacentral:rRNA from 1 species
CGCGGCCUAUCAGCUUGUUGGUGAGGUAAUGGCUCACCAAGGCAUUGACGGGUAGCUAGUCUGAGAGGACGAAUAGCCACACUGGGACUGAGACACGGCCCAGACUCCUACGGGAGGCAGCAGCAGGGAAUCUUGCACAAUGGACGAAAGUCUGAUGCAGCGACGCCGCGUGGGGGAUGAAGGCCCUAGGGUCGUAAACCCCUUUCAGUGGGGACGAAACUGACGGUACCCACAGAAGAAGGUCCGGCCAACUACGUGCCAGCAGCCGCGGUAAGACGUAGGGACCGAGCGUUGUCCGGAAUUAUUGGGCGUAAAGAGCUCGUAGGCGGUUGCGUAAGUCGGAUGUGAAAACUCGAGGCUCAACCUCGAGACGCCAUCCGAUACUGCGCUGACUUGAAUCCAGUAGGGGAGUGUGGAAUUCCUGGUGUAGCGGUGAAAUGCGCAGACAUCAGGAGGAACACCUAUGGCGAAGGCAGCACUCUGGGCUGGUAUUGACGCUGAGGAGCGAAAGCAUGGGUAGCAAACAGGAUUAGAUACCCUGGUAGUCCAUGCCGUAAACGGUGGGCACUAGGUGUGGGGACUUUCAACGGUUUCCGUGCCGAAGCUAACGCAUUAAGUGCCCCGCCUGGGGAGUACGG